GCGUAACGACAGCACUGAAUGACGGUUAACGGAGCGCAAGCGACGUUCAACAUACAAAGUCAAGCAGUGGAGCGCUUUGGGGUGGGGUGACUGCGUACCUUUUGUAUAAUGGGUCAGCGACUUAUAUUCUGUAGCAAGGUUAACCGAAUAGGGGAGCCGGAGGGAAACCGAGUCUUAAUUGGGCGUUAAGUUGCAGGGUAUAGACCCGAAACCCGGUGAUCUAGCCAUGGGCAGGUUGAAGGUUGGGUAACACUAACUGGAGGACCGAACCGACUAAUGUUGAAAAAUUAGCGGAUGACCUGUGGCUGGGGGUGAAAGGCCAAUCAAACCGGGAGAUAGCUGGUUCUCCCCGAAAGCUAUUUAGGUAGCGCCUCGUGAAUUCAUCUCCGGGGGUAGAGCACUGUUUCGGCUAGGGGGCCAUCCCGGCUUACCAACCCGAUGCAAACUGCGAAUACCGGAGAAUGUUAUCACGGGAGACACACGGCGGGUGCUAACGUCCGUCGUGAAGAGGGAAACAACCCAGACCGCCAGCUAAGGUCCCAAAGUCAUGGUUAAGUGGGAAACGAUGUGGGAAGGCCCAGACAGCCAGGAUGUUGGCUUAGAAGCAGCCAUCAUUUAAAGAAAGCGUAAUAGCUCACUGGUCGAGUCGGCCUGCGCGGAAGAUGUAACGGGGCUAAACCAU
rnacentral:rRNA from 1 species